rnacentral:misc_RNA from 1 species
GCAAACUUGGUCAUUUAGAGGAAGUAAAAGUCGUAACAAGGUUUCCGUAGGUGAACCUGCGGAAGGAUCAUUACCAUAGUCCAAGAAUUUCGCUUCUUGAAGGCUCCAGCCGUGUACCUGUACGUGUUGCUUCCGCGGAGAUUAAAGCACAAAAAAAACGAGCUGCCUCGUGGCAUUCUCGAUUUUACUACGGUCGUGCUCUCCGCGGGAGUUUUUCCUCCAAACCCUUAGUUCCACCUUCAUGUCUGAUGAAAUACAUAUUUGAUUAAGUGUAAAAACUUUCAACAACGGAUCUCUUGGUUCUCGCAUCGAUGAAGAACGCAGC